rnacentral:lncRNA from 1 species
GAUGGUAAGGAUAGGUUCGGACAAUGCUCUAAUUCACUAAAUAUCCUUUAUCUCUUGAAUUUUGCCUAAAAUUCUUGUCGGCUUUUAGCAGGAUUCUGCAGGUGAGCAAUAGAUUGGUAUCAGAGCAUCACAUUUUUUGCCUUAUUUACAAUGCAUUUAUAAAUUUUUAAAUCUCCAUGCUGGACAGACACCCACAUUUAAAGGUUUUCUAUAUAUUUACAUAAGCACGCACA